rnacentral:rRNA from 1 species
UACGGGGGGGGGCAAGCGUUGUUCGGAAUUACUGGGCGUAAAGGGCGCGUAGGCGGCCUUCUAAGUCGGACGUGAAAUCCCUCGGCUCAACCGAGGAACUGCGUCCGAUACUGAAAGGCUUGAAUCCGGGAGAGGGAUGUGGAAUUCCAGGUGUAGCGGUGAAAUGCGUAGAUAUCUGGAGGAACACCGGUGGCGAAGGCGGCAUCCUGGACCGGCAUUGACGCUGAGGCGCGAAAGCUAGGGGAGCAAACGGG